rnacentral:tRNA from 1 species
GUGCCUGUAGCGCAGCUGGAUAGCGCGCUUCCCUCCUAAGGAAGAUGUCGGGGGUUCAAAUCCCUUCAGGCACGCCA